rnacentral:rRNA from 1 species
GUUGCUUCGGCGGGCCCGCCGCUUGUCGGCCGCCGGGGGGGCGCCUCUGCCCCCCGGGCCCGUGCCCGCCGGAGACCCCAACACGAACACUGUCUGAAAGCGUGCAGUCUGAGUUGAUUGAAUGCAAUCAGUUAAAACUUUCAACAAUGGAUCUCUUGGUUCCGGCAUCGAUGAAGAACGCAGCGAAAUGCGAUAACUAAUGUGAAUUGCAGAAUUCAGUGAAUCAUCGAGUCUUUGAACGCACAUUGCGCCCCCUGGUAUUCCGGGGGGCAUGCCUGUCCGAGCGUCAUUGCUGCCCUCAAGCCCGGCUUGUGUGUUGGGUCGCCGUCCCCCUCUCCGGGGGGACGGGCCCGAAAGGCAGCGGCGGCACCGCGUCCGAUCCUCGAGCGUAUGGGGCUUUGUCACAUGCUCUGUAGGAUUGGCCGGCGCCUGCCGACGUUUUCCAACCAUUCUUUCCAGGUUGACCUCGGAUCAGGUAGGGAUACCCGCUGAACUUAAGCAUAUCAAUAAGCCGGGGAGAGA